rnacentral:lncRNA from 1 species
GAAGGUUUCCAAGGGAGACGAAUGAAGGAUGAGGACCCCAGAUGGGUCAGAGGAGGCGCUCUGGGCAGGACACGCUGGGAAUCUGCCUGGAGAUGGAAUUAUUAUGCAUUAACUGAGGACCAACCCCAUGACAGCUUGCCCUCUUCUGCCCGUGGAAAGAUGUCAGGACUCACACAGGGACACGUCCUGUCUUGCGUCUGCCACUGCUCCCUGGGUCACCCGGGUCCUCUGAUAAGGCCCCUGUGUGUGACUGGACCAGAACCACGUCCGGAACCAUGUCCGCCAGCUCCCCUGCUGUGUGUCUCGGUGGGGAGAGUAGCAUGUGCGGCCCGUGCCUGGGCCCACACAAGGUCAAUACCCACGUGGGCCCUGGGCUGCCACAGUGGACAGAGCAGGUUCAGCCUGUGUGAGCACGAAGGCAGGCGGAGAAAGGAAGGGAGCGAGUGACCAGGUGGACAGCGGAGGCAUGAAGCUUCCAGCUUCCAUCCAGCCACACGGGAGGUGCUUAGAAAAUGGUCAGUGGAAUCUGCAUGGCUGGUGCCCAGUUGCCUGCAUCCCAGGAGGUCCCCUAGCAUUGGCUCUUCUGGGACCCGGGUCCCAGGGCUCUGUGUAAGAUGGUCAGUCUGCAUCAUCUGCGUUUUCUAGGUGCCCUUGGGUUGGCUCCAGAGCCAUUCGUGAUAGCACGACCCAGGCCACCCGAGGCAGACGCGUCUGUAACAUUUAGAUCCUUUCUUGGGAGGCUGUGGCUUCCACAAUUGAGUAAGCAUCAAAGUAAAGGUUAUUUCCAACCCCACAGUUAAAUCGACGUGGUGAUAUAUUGGCCUGAUGACUCCUUUUACAAAAUUAUCUCUGAAAUGUUAUGUUUUCAUUCCACAAGACUCAUUCCAGCUCAGUUCCUCCUUGACCUUUAUCACCUACUCUGCAGAAUGCAUGCACCCAUCCACGGUUCUGGAAGCUUCUCCAGGCAUCCGACCUGCAGUGCCCCUUUCUGACCUGAUCUGUGGGUGGGGAGCAGGCGGGGGCGUGGGGUUCUGAUUGACAGGUGUUGUCCACCCACUCAGAGGAGCCCCGGGCCCCUCCACCCGUCCGGCUGCUCCAGGUGUUUGGGAAGCACCCGGGCCUGACCUGCUGUCAGCCUCCCACACGGCAGGUGUUCUCCCCAGGGGCAGCUGGCAGCGGGUGGGCGCCAAGGAUGGUGAUGAAAAUCGCCCUGGGGCUUUCCCACACUCACCGAAGACGUUGCUACAGAGAAGUUAGAGCUGCUCUGUGUACGUGUCCCCUGUGGGGGCCUCUAAUUAAGGCUCCACUGACGGCCUCAGAGGCUGGGACGGGUUCCCCUGUGUUCAGGCCAGGAGAGCGGGAGGCCCAGCAGGAAGGAGCUGAGACACACCCCCACUUGUCUAUAGGGGUGUCUCAGCUCUGGGCUCCAGCCCCUCAGCUCAGCCCCAUCCUCACCCCCUGGGGGAACUGGA